UAGAGUUUGAUCCUGGCUCAGGAUGAACGCUAGCUACAGGCUUAACACAUGCAAGUCGCGGGGCAGCAUUUAUGUUUGCUUGCAAAUAUAAGAUGGCGACCGGCGCACGGGUGAGUAACACGUAUCCAACCUGGCCCUUACUACGGCAUAGCCCUCCGAAAGGAGGAUUAAUUCCGUAUGUGGUCCUACGCAGGCAUCUAAAUAGGAUUAAAGGUUUGGCGGUAAGGGAUGGGGAUGCGUCUGAUUAGCUAGUCGGCGGGGUAACGGCCCACCGAGGCAACGAUCAGUAGGGGUUCUGAGAGGAAGGUCCCCCACACUGGAACUGAGACACGGUCCAGACUCCUACGGGAGGCAGCAGUGAGGAAUAUUGGUCAAUGGGCGAGAGCCUGAACCAGCCAAGUAGCGUGCAGGAUGACGGCCCUAUGGGUUGUAAACUGCUUUUAUGCGGGGAUAAAAGACAUCACGUGUGGUGUAUUGCAGGUACCGCAUGAAUAAGGACCGGCUAAUUCCGUGCCAGCAGCCGCGGUAAUACGGAAGGUCCGGGCGUUAUCCGGAUUUAUUGGGUUUAAAGGGAGCGCAGACGGUCUUUUAAGCGUGCUGUGAAAUAUUGCGGCUCAACCGUAAGAUUGCAGCGCGAACUGGUAGACUUGAGUUCGCUGGAGGUACGCGGAAUUCGUGGUGUAGCGGUGAAAUGCUUAGAUAUCACGAAGAACUCCGAUUGCGAAGGCAGCGUACCGUGGCGUUACUGACGUUCAUGCUCGAAAGCGCGGGUAUCGAACAGGAUUAGAUACCCUGGUAGUCCGCGCGGUAAACGAUGGAUGCCCGCUGUUCGGCCAUUAUGGUUGAGCGGCCAAGCGAAAGCGUUAAGCAUCCCACCUGGGGAGUACGCCGGCAACGGUGAAACUCAAAGGAAUUGACGGGGGCCCGCACAAGCGGAGGAACAUAUGGUUUAAUUCGAUGAUACGCGAGGAACCUUACCCGGGCUUGAACUGCAGGAGAACGAUUCAGAGAUGAUGAGGUCCUUCGGGACUCCCGCGGAGGUGCUGCAUGGUUGUCGUCAGCUCGUGCCGUGAGGUGUCGGCUUAAGUGCCAUAACGAGCGCAACCCCUGCUUUCAGUUGCCAUCGGGUAAUGCCGGGCACUCUGGAGGGACUGCCGCCGCAAGGUGGAGGAAGGUGGGGAUGACGUCAAAUCAGCACGGCCCUUACGUCCGGGGCUACACACGUGUUACAAUGGGGGGUACAGAGGGCCGGCCGCCGGCGACGUCGGUCAAAUCCCGAAAGCCUCUCCCAGUUCGGACUGGAGUCUGCAACCCGACUCCACGAAGCUGGAUUCGCUAGUAAUCGCGCAUCAGCCAUGGCGCGGUGAAUACGUACGCGGGCCUUGCACUCACCGCCCGUCAAG
rnacentral:rRNA from 1 species